AUCGUUCAUCCCUUUUUUGGGACGGAAGUAGACAAAUGUCGAAGGAACGCAUG
rnacentral:ncRNA from 10 species